rnacentral:rRNA from 1 species
UACGAAGGGAGCUAGCGUUGUUCGGAAUUACUGGGCGUAAAGCGCACGUAGGCGGACUUUUAAGUCAGGGGUGAAAUCCCGGGGCUCAACCUCGGAACUGCCUUUGAUACUGGAAGUCUUGAGGUCGAGAGAGGUGAGCGGAAUUCCUAGUGUAGAGGUGAAAUUCGUAGAUAUUAGGAAGAACACCGGUGGCGAAGGCGGCUCACUGGCUCGAUACUGACGCUGAGGUGCGAAAGCGUGGGGAGCAAACAGG